UACGUAGGGGGCUAGCGUUGUCCGGAAUCAUUGGGCGUAAAGCGCGUGUAGGCGGUUCGGUAAGUCCGCUGUGAAAGUCGGGGGCUCAACCCUCGAAUGCCGGUGGAUACUGUCGGACUAGAGUACGGAAGAGGCGAGUGGAAUUCCUGGUGUAGCGGUGAAAUGCGCAGAUAUCAGGAGGAACACCGGUGGCGAAGGCGGAUCUCUGGGCCAUUACUGACGCUGAGGAGCGAAAGCGUGGGGAGCGAACAGG
rnacentral:rRNA from 1 species